GUUGGAAAUUAUAUAUCAACCACUCAGUGUUGCAGCAUGACUGAGGACUGAGGUGCAUUGUUUCAGAGUCCCACUCACUGGCAAUUUUCAUUCUAUUCAGCUUAAUGGGAUUGGCAUCACUGGUUGGCCAGCAUUUAUUGCUCAUCUAUAAUUUGCCUUGAAUGAAUGCCUUGCAGAGGACAAUGAAGAAUCAAAGACCUUGACGAUUGUCUUGAAGCACAUAUGGCUUAAUUUCAAAUGCUCAGGUGCAAUAUUUAAAGGCAAGUUGAACACUACUUCAGAUGCUACAAGCACCCCAGGAGCCUGUCUGGUCACUUCUAGAAAGAAGCCGAGAAAUAUGCAGAACCUGAAGCUGGCUCUUAGGUUUACUGAUGUUGCCUUGCAGCUGGAGCUGAAUGGAGUCACUGAGAGAAGAUCCACCCCUUUCCUGGAUGAUGGCACCAGGAGGAGGUCUCUCAGAAUCUACAGCUGAGGAGCAGAUCACCGCAAAUGCCAGUGUCACUGGCCUAACACAACCAUGCAUACUUGUGCAUGUUCACAAACUGUUCCUGCACCCAUUCCCAUCACUCUCAAUCCUCCCCUUUAUCUCAUUGCUAGAAGAAUUAGACCAUGAUUAGACAGAGAGGGACAAGAUCUUUGGGAAUUGCUGGAUAUAAAGAUGCGUACCCUUUUCGAGGAAAGGAUCAUUGAGCUGUUUGAGCUGGGACAGUUCCAAUGCUGACGGGAAGAUACUAAUGAUCCUGCAACCCACUCAGAGACAUUGCCCUCUGCUCUCCUCACAUAAGCAUGAAAGUAAAAGCAUUGAUAUAUGUAAGCUAUUCUCAAACUUCACUGACUAAUUCUUUCUCUUCUGUUUUAUAGAAGCUGGUGUCAUCUAUCCCCAGGCCUAGUGUAUGAGGUCACUGAUUGAGCAUUUGUGUCAGUACCACAUCUGAGGAAGAAGUCAGAGGAAGCCAGCAGAGCAUUCAUCUGAAACCUCCAUCAAUACAGAAAAUGUCACUUUGGUGGAGGCUUUAGCUAGAAUAGACUCAGGGAUACAAUCUGGUCAGCACAUCAUCGCAUGUGUCUGAAGCUACUGGAGGUCUCUGAAGCGCACAGGACUGCAAUAGUUCAGGUCCCUGAUGAGCCCCAUGCAGCAUAUCUUCCCAGGUACUCAGC